UGGUCGAUGAUGACUAGACCACUGCGCAAUCUGAGUUCUCGGGAAACCCGCUGAUGGAGCUCUGAGAACGGACUGAGACCG